GUCUUCUUCUUUCUCUGACUACAGCGGCGAGUACGACGAUCGAUUGUGCUCGGUUUCCUGUAACGGAUCGCGACGAUAAUGGCUGAAUACUGUAUAUCCUAAAUUUCUCACGCUCACAUACGUUAUCGUUUCUACUUCUCCAAUUAAACACAUUAACUGUUAGUCUUCCUCUAUCUAUACAUCUCACAGAUCUCCAAAUCUUUACUCAGACCCUCAAUAAUGGCUGGGUUUCAUAACCGCUUCAAACUUCUCACCUAUAUAUAGUUCAUGUCAUACAUCAGGGCCGUGCAUCUCAAAUCAAGUCACAUUUUUUAAACCCGCAUAGAUUUCAUCCAGUAGUCGAAAUGUCCUCUGGUGCUUCUGUUGCUCAACUCAACAUUUGAACCUCUCCGACUUGGCUGUAAAAACGGAUGAAAAGAUGGACAGAGCAUACCCGCGUGAUUUCAUGAAAGUUGGGAGAGUUGUAGUUCAUUUGAAAAGGGAGGAUGAGACUUUACUCAAUCCUGCCAUUACUUCAAGUAGGAAACUGUAUUAACCGAGACCAACCAUUCAAAGACCAUCGCAUCUGAGAGAUACUACAAAGUAGAUGUGUAGCUGUAACAGAAACAGGCGGCGACAUAACCAAAUGACAACACAAUCAUAGUUUCAGAUGAUCAAAUAGUAAACCAAAGGGAAAGACUUUUGUUUAACUCACCAACCAUGUAUAGCUUGGAGGAACUAUUGCAGCCUGCAAAAGACCAAUCAAAAAGGCAGAGAUUGUGACCAGCACGAUCCAGAUCUUUACCGUAUGCUUCGUUUGUCCUAUACAUAAAAGGUUAUGCAAAAGUGUUAAGUACAAGAUACAUGCAGAUAUGAUCAUGGGUUUUCGAGAAGUUGUUCAAGGAAUCACUUAUCAAGCCUUUAUAUGAACUAAUAAAUCAAUGAGAAUGUUAAAAUUUUCAUUUGCUGACA